ACGGGAGGCAGCAGUGAGGAAUAUUGGUCAAUGGGCGAGAGCCUGAACCAGCCAAGUAGCGUGCAGGAUGACGGCCCUCCGGGUUGUAAACUGCUUUUAGUUGGGAAUAAAAGAAGCGACGUGUCGCUUAUUGUAUGUACCAUCAGAAAAAGGACCGGCUAAUUCCGUGCCAGCAGCCGCGGUAAUACGGAAGGUCCGGGCGUUAUCCGGAUUUAUUGGGUUUAAAGGGAGCGUAGGCGGGCCUUUAAGUCAGUGGUAAAAGCGUGUGGCUCAACCAUACCACGCCAUUGAAACUGGAGGCCUUGAGUGCACACAGGGAUGCUGGAAUUCGUCGUGUAGCGGUGAAAUGCUUAGAUAUGACGAAGAACUCCGAUUGCGAAGGCAGCCUUCUGGGGCAUGAUUGACGCUGAGGCUCGAAAGUGCGGGAAUCAAACAGGAUUAGAUACCCUGGUA
rnacentral:rRNA from 1 species